rnacentral:rRNA from 1 species
UACAGAGGGGGCAAGCGUUGUUCGGAAUUACUGGGCGUAAAGGGCGCGUAGGCGGCCCUCUAAGUCGAACGUGAAAUCCCCGGGCUCAACCCGGGAACUGCGUCCGAUACUGGCAGGCUUGAAUCCGGGAGAGGGAUGCUGAAUUCCAGGUGUAGCGGUGAAAUGCGUAGAUAUCUGGAGGAACACCGGUGGCGAAGGCGGCAUCCUGGACCGGCAUUGACGCUGAGGCGCGAAAGCCAGGGGAGCAAACGGG